GAUGAAGAACGUAGCGAAAUGCGAUAAGUAAUGUGAAUUGCAGAAUUCAGUGAAUCAUCGAAUCUUUGAACGCACAUUGCGCCCGCCAGUAUUCUGGCGGGCAUGCCUGUUCGAGUGUCAUUUCAACCAUCAAGCCCUGCUUGCGUUGGGGUCCUGCGGCUGCCCGCAGGCCCUGAAAACCAGUGGCGGGCUCGCUAGUCACACCGAGCGCAGUAAUACAUCUCGCUUUGGGCGUGCGGCGGGUUCUUGCCGUUAAACACCCCCUUUUUACCAAGGUUGACCUCGGAUCAGGUAGGAAUACCCGCUGAACUUAAGCAUAUCAAUAAGCGGAGGA
rnacentral:misc_RNA from 1 species